UACGGGGGGGGCAAGCGUUGUUCGGAAUUACUGGGCGUAAAGGGUGCGUAGGCGGCUUUUUAAGUCGGAUGUGAAAACUCUGGGCUCAACCCAGAGCCUGCAUCCGAAACUGGAGAGCUUGGGUUCUGGAGGGGAAAGCGGAAUUCCUGGUGUAGCAGUGAAAUGCGUAGAUAUCAGGAGGAACACCGGUGGCGAAGGCGGCUUUCUGGACAGAUACCGACGUGAGGCACGAAAGCUAGGGGAGCAAACAGG
rnacentral:rRNA from 1 species